UUUGGUGCCACGGCAGCGUUGUUGUUAACGUGAUGGUAUUACAGCUCGGGGCAUCGGAGUUCAGAGUUCAUUUCCAGCGCCAUCUAUCUACGGAAAACAGGUUGUGCGACGAUACAGCGCUGGCCGGAACCAAAUGGUGAAAAAGAGCGAAUCAGUGAACUGUCGACCCUGAGGAUUCCUCGAGAUGUUCAAAGCGACCUCGGCUUCGUAUGUGCGUCCAAGAACCACCUUUGGGGAUUAUGAGACCUUACACGAGUGGUCAAUUGUACUACACUGAAAUGCAUUGGCUGUCAAAAGGCUGGGGCAUAAAAUAUUUCUUUGAUCUUUUUGACACUGUGGUUGAAUUCUUGUUAAAAAUCGACAUGAGGUUGGGAAACAAGAUUGAACUUCUACGUGGAGAUAUGGCAUACCAAGCCGAUCUAUAUGACGAAAUGAAAAUUCUAAAUAUGAAACUGCAGGCUGAGAAUUUCAAUUUAAUCCAGUGGGAGAUGAAGAGAGGAGACACCAGAGAGAACCAGUCGUAGGAUUUGAUCCAGUGGGGAAACACGAUUCAGUGGAGCCCGGUGUGGACGUCUGCUGAAGAUUGCUGAAUAUAGCUUUUGGAAGAUCUGUGCUCCAACCUGUGCACACUUGACUAUUUAAUUUAAAUGGGCCCAUUUGUUUCUUUCUUUUCUUUACUAACUCUUUGGUUAAGUUAAU